UGUCAUGCUUGUAUUCUUAGAACGUUGUGAGUAUAUUAUUUUGUUAUUUAGGUAAUUUCAUAAAUUCAUACAUAAAUAUAACAAUGGGAUGCUGUGAGUUUGUAGAAUUUUAUGGAACUCCUUAAAAUUGGGUAUAACAGCUCUUGGUAUAUAAUAUAUUGUGGUAUUGUGGUACCUAAGGUAUAAUAUAUGAAAGUUCGGAUGAUACGAGGUUGCACGUUUACAAUUAUUCAUAAAUCAAUGUUUAAUUGACGAAAUCGAUGGAUUCUCAAUUUCGCCGCGACGAGGGGGAUUUGACGGAGGCUCCACCGAGAAACUAACAAGUAAAUUCGCAACUCUCGAGGACAAGGAUGGGAGGAGUAGGUAUUCUAUUCCUGGCGAUCGAUCGAGACGAGGUCGUUGGUUUCUGACGGUGGAUAUUCAUGAAAUUCCAGCAUCAAAUAAUGGAAAAGGUCCCUACUGAAAAGUGGAAUGGUUAUGAAAUCAAUAAAAAAGACAACAAAAUUGUUGAAGAGGAUGAAAAUUAUUAAAAAUAAAUUUUUAAUUAAAAAAAAUUUCUUUUUAUCAAUGCAACCUUUGCAGGUUAGGUGAUGGAGAAGAGGAAAAUUUAUAAGUGGAAGAAUCUUACUUGGAAGUCUGACAAAAUAGCAUUGAUUAUUUUUCAUAUACUUUGCGUGUGCACGAGUUAGCUGCGACUGUCGCUACAUGUGUACAGUGCCUUCUCGAUUAUCUUUACUGACUCACUCUGCCAGGAUUGUCUUCCUCUUCGUUCUGUCGCAAGAAAGGGAAAACAUGCAAGAAAAAAAUGUAAAAAAAUAUCCUAAUUCGCGUUUCUUUCUCGCUUAAGAAUCGAUAUGUACUCCAUUAACCAGUCGCAGUCACGUAAAAGAAUUUUAUUCGGUUUUCGAUUUUGAAUUUCCCGCCGAAUAAGAAAUCGUUACGUAAGUACGCCGUAUCCGACGUGCUUUAGGCGUAAAUCACGCGGAAUAUAUACUCACUCGAUAGCGUCAAUAUGUAAAUUUGACGUAAGCAAUAUUUACGUAUGAUUAUAUAAAACUUGAAAAUAUUACCAAUUUGUAGAUUAGGAUCAUUGAAGUUUAUACCAAAGUCAAAGUUUCUACGUCUGGUAAAGCAGCGGCGUGAGACGAGACUCGACGCGACAUUUUUCGCGGGACUAAUUCCACGUCGAUUUAGAAACGGGAACUGUACGAUGGGAAUUGUCAGAUUGUCGUAUGGCUUCUGUACCAUCCGUUCCGUUUCACUGUCUACCGUGACCGUUUCCGUUCCGUUCCGGUCCCGGAUGUCAGUGACCGGAAAAAUAAGUUAUAGCCACGAUUAUCAACCGCACUUUGUAUCCUUCUAGAAACACGUACGCAUAUACAGAUGUUGUGAUAAACUAUUAAAGAAACCUCUGUUAGUUCGUACGACUCAAUGUAAAUCCCCAGGCUGUGUAAAUAGUUGAGAAAUGGCAAAAUCCCCAGGACAAACGGAAUUCGAAGAAAUAUUACAUUUUUUCAAGACCUUCGUCUAUCAUACGUGCCAGAGAAUUAAUUCCGGCAGUUCGUCUCGUCGUCACUCUGAUUCGCCCGUCUGCAGAACGACGACUGGAAUUGAAUACAAGAACAAAAUCACCAAGCGUGUCAUUCAACGUAGCCAGCACAAAAAGAAAAGAGGAUCCGUACCAAGAGAAUUCACUCAGCAACCAGUCAAACUGUUCAGCGAUGCAUCGUACCUAAAUAUUAAUCCUUCCUUUGAUCCUGCACGCGUACCACUGUUGUGACAUUGAAAAGAAUGUACACUGGUCCAGAUAACGAGCUCGUGUCACUAAUUAUCGUUCGCUCGGUAAAUUUUCCUAUUUGGGUACAGUGAACAAUAACUAGGUAGACAUCAGUCACGUGUCACUGUAAAAAAAGGACGCUAUUGUCACAACAGUGUCAACGACGUAUAACGACAUAUACGCCUGCAGUUUCAACAGAAUUCUAUCGAAAUUCCUAUAAUUGCUGCUACAAUUCCAAGUGACUGCUUCGUAGAUUUGCUCUCUUGGUCCAUGUUGUAAUCUGCAGCUGCAAUUGCAAACCCGUGCUGGACCUUGUGUAUAUACAGUCGAUGCAGAUCUAUGGAUCACCGAGGAGUUGAUCGACGUACAUACCAAGUACUGGUGAGUGGUAUCACGCGUCUAUCGGGUUUCGUCCAGUAUCUCAACGACGUCUGCGUCGACGUCGUCGAACGAGAAGGAGGCGACCGAUGACGG